rnacentral:tRNA from 1 species
UGACAACAUAGUUCAAUGGUAGAAUGCUUGCCUGGCAUGCAUGAGGUCAUAGGUUCAAUUCCCAGCAA